rnacentral:rRNA from 1 species
CAAUAAGCGGAGGAAAAGAAACCAACAGGGAUUCCCUUAGUAACGGCGAGCGAAAAGGGAUGAGCCCAGCAUGUAAAUCUCCGGUUUCCGGUGAAUUGUAGUCUGGAGUAGCAACUCCUGGUGCCGUGCCGGCCCAAGCAUCUUGGGAUAGAUCGCCUCAGAGGGUGAGAGCCCCGUAGGUCGGUACGAGCUCCUACACGGAGUGCUCACGCAGAGUCGGGUUGUUUGGGAAUGCAGCCCCAAUUGGGUGGUAAACCCCAUCUAAGGCUAAAUACCUGUGGGAGACCGAUAGCAAAAAAGUACCUCGAGGGAACGAUGAAAAGACCGCUGGCAAGCGAGUGAAAGAGUGCAUGAAAUUGUAUAGUGGGAAGGGAUGGCCUGGCGUAUUGCCCGCGGGUAUACACUGCUCCUCGAGCUCUUGAAUACACCGUGGGCUGGCUGGUGCCGACACCUGCGCUUGCAAAUCCCCAAACUAAGGUGUUUGGCUCUUCAAGCGCGGGUGUUGAGGUUGAUCGUCGCUCUGUUUUAAACUGC